UGGCGAUUGCUGGAAGAAGACAUCGAGACGUCGUCGAACACGGACGAGCGGGCCUGACCCUUCGCUGUCUGUGGAGUACUGCGACCUGCGAGCGUCACCUGGUGCGGAUGAAAUCACAUGGAGGCCACAAAAAUCAUAUCAAGCAAAUUGUUGAGAAUCGAAUGGCCAAGUAUCGAUUGAAAAUUGAACACUGACUCACUUCACCAGGAAUCGCUCUGAAAAUAAUUUAAAAAGUACUUUCAACCACUGCUGCUCUGCACGCUGACUCACUUCACCAGGAAUCUUUCCAGAAACAUGUUACCAGAUCUUCUCGAUCCAACUAUUACUGCUCUGAAGCCUUAAAAUCAUUCACGUGAAUGACUCGCAAGUGGUUUUUUUCAAUGACUGUCUAUAAUUAUGCAUGAUUAACUUAACUCUUAUUAACUCAAUAACAUGACUAACCUCACUAACUUAAUUAGGCAGUUAAUAUAAAAACCACUUGUUGAGUUUUACUAUGAAGGUCUUAAUGGGGUUACGUGGAAGACACCGCUGCAUGAUUA